AUGAAAGGAGAUAAGGAGGGGCGGUUUCAAGGCGCCCCCCACGGAGAACCCCGUUGGCCCCAGAGCAAAAGGAGAGUCAAGAGUGACUAAAUCAAAGGGAAUACGAAAAUGGAGGCAAGGAAAGAAACCGGAAAACAGCUUAUUGCUGCUGCUGCGAGGAAGCUCCUUUUUCUUUUUUCUUUUUACAAACACGAAGAGAGAAAAGUUUUUGUCGACGCUGGAAAGAGAGCAAUAUAGACUAGACCGGUGUGCCCGAGUCUUCCUACCCGGCCGAGGAGACGUCCAGCCCGGCCACUUUCCAGCCGGCCAGCCGCUCUUAUGCUCUGGAGAUGUGGCUUUUGCGCACAAUUGGAAAAUUAAAUAAAUAAACAAAUACAUUAAGCAUGCAAAACAUAAUGUAUAGUCCACUUUUAAGAUUUUGAUGCUUUUGUGUUCACCUAAAACCAUAUUUUUUUUGUGCAACCUCAUGCAUAACUUCAGUAAGAGCUCUAUACUGCAACUUCACCUGAGGAGUUAUGUCUCCUAUGUUUAAAAAAAGGUGAAUAAGCUAUUUUACGCACAUUAAAAAGUGUUUGAAGUUGCUCUGGAGAUGUGACGUUUGCGCACAAUUGAAAAAUUAAACAAAUAAACAAAUAUAUUAAGCAUGCAAAACAUAAUGUAUAGUCCACUUUCAGAUUUUGAUGCUUUUGUGUCCACCUAAAACCAUAUUUUUUUGUGCAACCUCAUGCAUCACUUCAAGAACAACUCUAUACUGCAACUUCACCUGAGGAGUUAUGUCUCUGAAUAAGCUAUUUUACGCACAUUAAAAAGUGGUUGAAGUUGCUCUGGAGAUGUGGCUUUUGCGCACAAUUGGAAAAUUAAAUUAAAUAAACAAAUAAAUUAAGCAUGCAAAACAUAAUGUAUAGUCCACUUUUUGAUGCUUUUGUGUCCACCUUAAAACCAUAUUUGUGUGCAACCUCAUGCAUCACUUCAUUAAGAACUCUACUGCAACUUCACCUGAGGAGUUAUGUCUCCUAUGUUUAAAAAAAAAAAGGUGAAUAAGCUAUUUUACGCACAUUAAAAAGUGGUUGAAGUGCGUUUAAAGUGGGGUGCUGCACCCCCAGCAUUAAUUGAAUAAACUUCUGAACGUCUAAAUAGAACCACAUAAAAAAAAAAAAAAAUUCACAGUGAAACGGGAAACACAUUUAUAGCGAAGCUGUAUGGUUUUAAAUGAGGUCCAAAUGGAGAGCUGUCUCCACGGGAGGCCCUCCAUACAGGGCAGCCAUCAGAUACUUCUGAUAGCCCUUUAAUGAUGCGGAUUUCCAAACAGUGCCAUGGAGGGAGACGCCCAGGCUAUCUAAAAAGGUGGUGCAAAACCCCAAGAGACAAUAGAGUCAUAUUAGAGGAGAAAAAGAAAAGCAGAGCUCUGCCAAGCUUUUGGGAUAUGUUAUGAAAAACAAGGCGUGUAACAGUGGUGAUGUGGGUAAGCCUGUAUCGUUCUUUUUUCUCCUUUUUGGUGGCCGACACACUAUAAAUAUCAACCUCAACAAACAACAAUGGCACCCAUAACCGCUUAGAAAGAAGACAUGAUGGAGUCAGAAGUUGACUUGGACACAAAAACAACGUGACCUUUUACUUCUCUGUGUGUGUGCAGGACAGAUGCUGCUAUUUCUGACAGAUAGGCUGGAGGCCUCACACCGGGAAUAUGUGAAAUAUAAAAAAAUGUUCUCAAAACUGUUACAUGACUAAGAUCAAGAGGAUGAUGGUGCAGAAAGAAGAUGAUGAUGGUGAUAUUGAUGGUGACGGAGGGAAUGGCUCGGGCACCAAAUUAGUGGCUGUCACACAGCCAUAUAUCCGGGCUGUAACCACCACCAGGCCUGCAUGGAUGAGAUGA